AUAUUUAUGUCCGGGGGUAGUAAUAACAAAUAAAACCCACAAAGCUUGGCGGUUGUAAUAACCCAGAGAAGCUUGUUUUAUAAUCGACAAUACUCGUUAAAUUUAGCUCUAUCAAAACAAAGCCUAUAUACCGCCGUUAUUAAAGAUAAAACCAAAACACAAAACAUCUAAAAAUAUAAAAAUAAAAAAUCAGGUCAAGGUGUAGUCAAUUGUAGAGAAAAAAUUAGCUACAAAUAAAAAAGAUUUAAAGAAUCCACAAACCAAACACAAGGAUGAAACAGAAUCUAGACUCAAGAUGUAAUUAAAAUAUACAACUGAAACUACCACAUUACAACGC
rnacentral:rRNA from 1 species